AACGGUCUAUACCUGCGGUACCUGCGGAGGGAUCAUUACAGAGUUCGUGCCCUCACGGGUAGAUCUCCCACCCUUGUGUAUUCCUUACAUUUGUUGCUUUGGCAGGCCGUUGGUUCGCCAACCACCGGCUCGCGGGCUGGUGCGUGCCUGCCAGAGGACCUCUCAAACUCGGUUUGUUAGUGUCGUCUGAGUAUCAUAAACAAUCGUUAAAACUUUCAACAAUGGAUCUCUAGAUCGGAA
rnacentral:misc_RNA from 1 species